rnacentral:lncRNA from 1 species
CUCGCUCCAUACGCCCCAGCCGCUCGCCGGGCCGCUCCAGAGCUGCUUGACAGAGCUCUGCCUUACAAGCCUGCUCUUCAAAGCAUUCCUGUCUUUACUGUCGAAUGCACCAAAUGUCUCCCACAGCUGUUUAGUUGAGAGGUUUGGGGAGAGGAUCACGGUAUCAUCACCCUCAUAGCACCGAGUAUUGCUUGGGAAGCUGUUCAGGGCUGGAUGAAUUACACAAGGUUCCUUGGACACCAGACAGGCGAAGUGGGGUUAGAGCACCAUGUGAUCUCAGCUACAGUUCCCAGCCCAGCGUCCUGAUGUUGUGCACAGACGUGGUAACUUGGCUCCUUUCCUGCUUGAAAACAUUUGCUUGGAUGUUCUGAGACUUUCUCAACACUGUGGCCCCCCGCCAUAGGGUGUUACAUGGCUUUAGAUAAGAAAUCUCCAUAAAACUGUAAGCAAUGUGUCUUCUGCAGUAAAUCUUUCUUCUUAGUCAAGAGUGAAGCAGUCACAUUAUGUUUCCUUAUUUUGCAGUCCACCUGUUGCAAGGAAAGUGCCAAGAAAAUUAUACACCAGUGGGAAAGUAUAGAUUGCAUAGAUGGCUUGGACC